rnacentral:rRNA from 1 species
CACGUAGGGGGCAAGCGUUGUCCGGAUCUAUUGGGCGUAAAGAGCUCGUAGGUGGUUCGGUAAGUCGGGUGUUAAACCCCCAGGCUCAACCUGGGGACGCCACUCGAUACUGCUGUGACUAGAGUCCGGUAGGGGAGCGUGGAAUUCCUGGUGUAGCGGUGAAAUGCGCAGAUAUCAGGAGGAACACCAGCGGCGAAGGCGGCGCUCUGGGCCGGUACUGACACUGAGGAGCGAAAGCGUGGGUAGCAAACAGG